UCGUCUGCAUGAUCAGCUAUCAAACACCCUGUAUAUGUACAUACGUACAUAAUCAUUUUUUAGGUAUUGUCCGCGUUCACGUCUACGUGUACGACAAUAUUUGCGAAUCGCUUAGCUUUUCCCAGCAUUUGUGCCCCUUGGUAUAUAUGUUUACAUAUUCGUAAUAACAUAUAUAUACACGUAUAUUAUUAUGUUGUGUCGCCCGUCAUUUGAUUGCCGGUCAGCUGAUGCUGAGCAGAUGAUAUGAUGAGUCGUACCAUCAAAAAAUCAAUACCGGUGCUUAGCGACUCGUCGUCCCAGGAGAUCGCUUUUCAAUUUUAUUUUCUGAUAGUUUUCCGAUAGCAUAGCAGCCUUCGUGACAAAAAUAGUGUCCACGUAUUGCGAGGAAAGAAGAGGAUUUAAUAAAAACGAUAGAUAAUAUUAAUGUGGACCACCAAAUGCAAAAUCUGGAGGAAGACUUGCGAAAUAUAGCCAAAAACCACGAUCUAAACAAAUUAAAAGCGGAAAAUAACGAGUUGAAGGAAAAAUUGGAAAAAAUAGAAAAGCAAAUAGAAAAAUUAAUGGAAAAGAAAGAAGAAGAUGGCUCCGAAGGAAAAGCCCGGCCCAGGGGCACUAAUGCUGGGAGGAACCGGGCAUCAUGGAAUAAUUAUGAUAGGCGAGAACGUAAUCGCGGGAAAAUUAUAAAAAAUUAUUUUAAUAUAUCA